rnacentral:misc_RNA from 1 species
GGAAGAGCUCGGUGCCCCAGGAGAUGAUGCGCGGGAGAUGAUGCAACUUCUCGAUUCAAACAGUGAUGGUUUUCUGAGCUCAGAUGAAUUUGAUAUAUUUCAGAAUCAGGUUGAAUUCAUCCGGAAUAUAGAAGACAGAGAUGAUCAUUACCAAACACUGUUAAAUGCUAAGCUGCAAUUGGCAAACGACACCGGUUUGAUUCAACUGUACAGUAAAGAGCAAGGUAGUCUGGUAACAAAUUAAAUUAGUAAAUUCUGUUAAAUCUGUGUUCUUUAUGUAUGUAUUUAUUGAAAAGGCCGUGGCGCUAUACUGGGGAUUAUUGAAGCCUCAAAAUAGAUAUCUUUCCAGGGAAAGAUACUUGAUCCCUCUGUAUAAUAGUUAUCUGUGCACGGUCUCAAUCAAAUAUAAUGUAUCUGUAUGUUGUAACAUGUAUCAUUUCUGUACAACUCUUGUACAUAGUGUUUU